AUGGAGUUUGGGCUUGGCUGGGUUUUCCUUGUAUCUUUUUUAAGAGGUGUCCAGUGUGACGUGCAGCUGGUGGAGUCUGGGGGAGGCUUGGUGCAGCCUGGGGGGUCUCUGACCCUCUCCUGCGCAGCCUCUGGAUUCACCUUCAGGAGCUAUGGGAUGAGCUGGGUCCGCCAGGCUCCAGGGAAGGGGCUCGAGUGGGUGGCAGUUAUAUGGAAUGAUGGAAGUCAGAAAUACUAUGCAGACUCUGUGAAGGGCCGAUUCACCAUCUCCAGAGACAACACCAAGAACAUGCUGUAUCUGCAAAUGAACAGCCUGAGAACUGAGGAAACGGCCAUGUAUUACUGUGUGAGAGACACAUUGAACUGGUGGGGAAGAGGCAGAAUUCUUUCUACAGAGCCUCUUAUUGAUAUCUGGAGAAGAGACCCAAAGUUUCUUUUCAGAUUCCAAAUGUGA